UAAAUAGAAAGACAUUUAAUGUGCAUGAUCAUAAAAUCUCAAUAUUGUCAAGAUAUAAUUUCUCCCCAAUUUGAGUUAUAGGCAAGAGAGUCACAUCAUCUAGGUGAUUGGCCAAACAUAUGUCACAAUCCCUUCCAUUGACAGCUCCCAAAAAAGGAGUUACAUCACCUAGGUGCUCAGCUCUGAGAUGUGUCACAACAUUGCCCAAUACAGGCAGGCCACAGGCGGGAGAGUCACAUUUCCUGGGUGCUUGGCCCAGUGGUAUGUCACAUUUCCUUAUGUAGGAAGGGCACACGUAGCAAGAGAGAGUCACAUUACCUAGGUACUGUGCUAGAGCUAUCAGUCUCUGUGUCGUUCAAUGUGAGAGUUAUGAUCUCUUUAGACAUCCAUGUAACAGAGCCUCAACUCCUUCAUCCUCAGAUGUAAAGGCUAGUGAAGACCAAAUAAGCCUUGAAAGGUAAUUCCCCUAAAAAGGCAGAAUGUCUUAGGCUUUGGCCUCUCCCCUUCAAGCACAAUGAGAUCAUAACCUCUCUUUUGACUUCUCACUAUGCCCAGCACUGGAACAAAGCUCCUGACUCCACACCCUCACCUUUCCACCCUUGUGCCUUCACUGGGCAGACAAGAGAUGAGAAGACCUGAACUCUGGGACAGUCUGGGGAGAAAAGAAUCCAAAAAGGGUUGAGGCGGCAAGGGCUGAGCUCCCACGGGUGCCCCGGCCCAAAGGUGCAGGUCCAGGCUGUUUUCCAGGUGGCAUUCAGUGCAGGUUCUUCAAUGCCACUGGAAGGCAUGAAAAACCCACUGUAGCUGCUGCUGCUUCCUUUUCUUAAGCUGUGAAAAUGCAAACACUUUUUCAAGGUUUUCAGAUAUGCCCAGGUACCCCCAACUGAAAAGGAGGAUAAUGGCAUUGUUCAUCAUGGCUUAUUGUCUUGCCCAGGCAGGAGCCAGCCCCUGACUCGCCAAUCCAGCUGCCCCAGGCUGGAGGUGAUCCUUUCGAGCCUCCUCCCUGCAACUCCACUCCUCUUUUUUCUCUUCCUCAACCACCGGCAUACUUUUGGUCAUCCUCCUUGUUGUCACAAUGGGGGCGUGAUGCCAUAAAGACCUGGGAACCCCAAUGAUCUCAGGUCCCGCAGGGGUCAGGUGAGCAUAUAGGAAGUCCAGAAGGACAGUCAUCUGCCACCUCCAGUUGAAAAAGAACAAAACCCUCGCACUCCAGAAAUGAGUCAAGAACCCAGCGAAGGCCACAGGUCUAGCCCACAACCACCUAGGUAUGUGGGGUCCUCCAAGGCUCACGCUUGUGUCCUGCAGGCUGGAGCCCAUGCGAGGGUCUGCAGUCUUUGUUCCGGAUGGGGAACUACUGCUUCAGCUGGUUACCCAGGUGUCCCCGAUGGGGAAAGGAAGGAAAUGGUGAGAAUCUUCAGCACAACGGAUCACAUCACCCUGGCAGAGACCAGUCCGGCCUGCGCAUGGCACCAGCAGCCGCAGGCUAGAGGCAGUCAUGUCAGGCCUCCUCCAUACAGCAUCUCUCCUGCUUUUUUUUCAAACGGUCCUAAUCACUUAAUUUGGUCAUCUUCCCUGUCACAAUGGGGCACCUGGCGCUAUAGACACUUGGGAAACACACAGAUCUGGGGUCCUACAGUGUCCAGGUGAAGACGCCGGGAGUCAGAGAGGAAAGUCUUUUGAAGCCUCCAAAAGGAAUGCACAGGACCCCACUUGAAGAGGUGGAGUGCCCAGUGGCGGAUACAGGCCCCACACAUCGCAGCAGUAAACAGGGACUCCACGGUGUCCAGCUCUCCAGCCUGGGGUUUCUCAUCACCCAGUGAUUCCAAAAGAAAGGAUCUACAAUGGCAUGACUAAGUUCCAGAAACAAAUAAACAAAAUACUGAGGGAAGCCCGUUGGUCACUUUGAUUCUUCAAAGGUGACAAUUGUCCCUCCCUGAAAUCUUGUGAGUGCAUGAACAGGCUAUUCUAAUGUAAAUGAAAUUCACACUAAAACUGAUUGAAAGAUGAUUCUGUUUCCAAGGUACUUUGUAUUCUCAAAUUGCACCUGCUUACCCUGGCCCCCUCAAAAUGGAAGAGUGAUGACUAUUUGUCUUCGUAGCACUGUGGGGACACAGAGCCUUAAAUGGAAGAGUGUCAAAAGCAACAUUCCAUAAAGGGCUGUCACUUCCAAUUUUCAAGCAAGGUUGGAAACCAACCAUGAUGUAUGAAACACUGUUGGCCAAAGUGCACAAUUAGUAAUACAAAAUGAAUAAUAUAAACUAUUGUAAAUAUGUGUGGACAUCGUGGCAAUUUGGACAUCAAAAAACACUGCCAAAUUCAGAAAGAGGAAGCUGUAAACUCAUGGCUGUUAGGAAGCUUAACUUCUGUGUACUAGAACCUAUCAAAAUUAAAUUUCUCCAUGUCAA
rnacentral:lncRNA from 1 species